CUCUCCAUAGCUCAAUUGGCAGAGCGUCUGACUGUAGAUAGUGAUCUGUUAUCGGGCGGUUCCUGGUUCGAUUCCGGGUGGGGAGA
rnacentral:tRNA from 1 species